CAACCUGGUUUGAUCCUGCCAGUAGUCAUAUGCUUGUCUCAAAGAUUAAGCCAUGCAUGUCUCAGUACAAGCCAAAUUAAGGUGAAACCGCGAAAGGCUCAUUAAAUCAGUUAUGGUUCCUUAGAUCGUACCCACAAUUACUUGGAUAACUGUGGUAAUUCUAGAGCUAAUACAUGCAAACAGAGCUCCGACCGGAGACGGAAGGAGUGCUUUUAUUAGAUCAAAACCAAUCGGUGGCGGGUUCGCUCGUUAUCGUACAACUUGGUGACUYUGAAUAACUUUACGCUGAUCGCACGGUCAUCGCACCGGCGACGCAUCUUUCAAAUGUCUGCCUUAUCAACUGUCGAUGGUAGGUUYUGCGCCUACCAUGGUUGUAACGGGUAACGGGGAAUCAGGGUUCGAUUCCGGAGAGGGAGCYUGAGAAACGGCUACCACAUCCAAGGAAGGCAGCAGGCGSGCAAAUUAMCCACUCCCGGC
rnacentral:rRNA from 1 species